rnacentral:rRNA from 1 species
UACAGAGGUCUCAAGCGUUGUUCGGAUUCAUUGGGCGUAAAGGGUGCGUAGGCGGCGCGGUAAGUCGGGUGUGAAAUCUCGGGGCUUAACUCCGAAACUGCAUUCGAUACUGCCGUGCUUGAGGACUGGAGAGGAGACUGGAAUUUACGGUGUAGCGGUGAAAUGCGUAGAUAUCAGGAGGAACACCGGUGGCGAAGGCGGCCCUCUGGACGGUGACUGACGCUGAGACGCGAAAGCGUGGGGAGCAAACAGG